GAUGAACGCUGGCGGCGUGCCUAAUACAUGCAAGUCGAGCGAAUGGAUUAAGAGCUUGCUCUUAUGAAGUUAGCGGCGGACGGGUGAGUAACACGUGGGUAACCUGCCCAUAAGACUGGGAUAACUCCGGGAAACCGGGGCUAAUACCGGAUAAUAUUUUGAACUGCAUGGUUCAAAAUUGAAAGGCGGCUUCGGCUGUCACUUAUGGAUGGACCCGCGUCGCAUUAGCUAGUUGGUGAGGUAACGGCUCACCAAGGCAACGAUGCGUAGCCGACCGGAGAGGGUGGUCGGCCACACUGGGACUGAGACACGGCCCAGACUCCUACGGGAGGCAGCAGUAGGGAAUCUUCCGCAAUGGACGAAAGUCUGACGGAGCAACGCCGCGUGAGUGAUGACGGCUUUCGGGUCGUAAAACUCUGUUGUUAGGGAAGAACAAGUGCUAGUUGAAUAAGCUGGCACCUUGACGGUACCUAACCAGAAAGCCACGGCUAACUACGUGCCAGCCGCCGCGGUAA
rnacentral:rRNA from 1 species